UACGGAGGGAGCUAGCGUUAUUCGGAAUUACUGGGCGUAAAGCGCACGUAGGCGGCUUUGUAAGUAAGAGGUGAAAGCCCAGAGCUCAACUCUGGAAUUGCCUUUUAGACUGCAUCGCUUGAAUCAUGGAGAGGUCAGUGGAAUUCCGAGUGUAGAGGUGAAAUUCGUAGAUAUUCGGAAGAACACCAGUGGCGAAGGCGGCUGACUGGACAUGUAUUGGACGCUGAGGUGCGAAAGCGUGGGGAGCAAACAGGAUUGAGAAACCCCUGU
rnacentral:rRNA from 1 species